rnacentral:rRNA from 1 species
AUGACAGGAUCCAGAGUCAAUUCAUGGGCUUUGUCGAUCGCGGGAGACGUGCCACCACCUUUGCAAAUACCACAACCGUCACGAGAGGUGCACAAACGUCCAAAUGCACAUGAUCAGGUUAAUGUAUCUAUACCACCAUUUAAUGGCCGUUUUAAACUUGCUUUAUAUAUUGAAUGGGAGUUCGACAUAAAAAAUAUAUUUGCUUCCCAUAAUUUCGAUGAACAUAAAAAGGUUAAGGUUGCGGUUGGUUCUUUCACUGGUUAUGCUUUGGUUUGGUGGAGUGAAUAUUGUCGGUUACACCCU